UACGGGAGGCAGCAGUGGGGAAUUUUCCGCAAUGGGCGAAAGCCUGACGGAGCAAUACCGCGUGAGGGAGGAAGGCUCUUGGGUUGUAAACCUCUUUUCUCAGGGAAGAAGUUCUGACGGUACCUGAGGAAUCAGCAUCGGCUAACUCCGUGCCAGCAGCCGCGGUAAUACGGAGGAUGCAAGCGUUAUCCGGAAUGAUUGGGCGUAAAGCGUCCGCAGGUGGCACUCCAAGUCUGCUGUCAAAGGUCGGGGCUCAACUCCGAACAGGCAGUGGAAACUGGAGAGCUAGAGUGCGGUAGGGGCAGAGGGAAUUCCCGGUGUASCGGUGAAAUGCGUASAGAUCGGGGAAGAACACCAGUGGCUGAAAGCGCUCUGCUAGGCCGCAACUGACACUUCAGGGACUGAAAGCUAGGGGAGCGAAUGGGAUUASAUACCCCAGUAGUCCUWRCCCGUAAACGAUGGAUACUAGGCGUGGCAUGUAUCUGACCCSGUGCCAGUGCCCGGACGCUAACCGCUGUUAAGGUAUCCCGGCCUGGGGAUGUACUGCCGNGGCUCAAGCAGUGNNAUCUCANAGUCAAUUGNUGU
rnacentral:rRNA from 1 species